CUCUUUUUAUUUUUUUUAUUUUUUCUCUUUUGUUUUUAUUUUAGGAUUUAUUUUCAUAAAUGUCUUCUAUCUAUGCUUAUUUGUUUCAUUGCAUGCUUAUGAUUGAUUACAUUGAGGACAAUGCAAUAUUUAAGUGUGGGGGAAGGGAUUUAUAUUUGAGUCUUUUAUUUUGAGUCAUAUAUAUUGGAAAAUACAAAAAAAUCGAAAAAUGUCAAAAAUUAAAAAAAUUUCGUUGAUUUUAUUUAUUGAGUCUUAGUCCUUUGUUUUUAUUUUUGAGUCAUAGGAUGCCCUUUUAACUGUCUAGGAUGAGCUUAUAUCUCUGAAAUUAAGGCUAAAAGAUGAUCACAAGAUUGGGAUAAUAUUUGAUGAUAUUCUUUGGUUAAUUAUGAUUUAUGAAAAGCAUAUGAAUGUGUAGUAGAUAUGGUGCAUGCGUAACUUUGGUACAGAAUAUGAACAUGUGGAUGAUAAGUUAUGAUUCAUAAUAACCCUUGUGAGAAUUUGAGCCAUGUGCCCUUUCUUUGUUGAGUGAUUAAUGGAAAAAAAAAAAAAAAUGAAUUAUACUCUUAUUUUCUUGGCGAUGAUUCUGUUGAUCUCAUUAUUCUUUCAUCUUGAUUGAUUACAUGCCAUAGAUUAAGUUUAAUGGACUAGAGAAUGCUAGAAUUCGCUCUUGUGCUUGUUGAGACGUUUUGUCAAUACAUGGCCCUGAUUCUGGAAAGGAUAGAGGCACCUAGGAACUACCACCAUUGCCAAAUAAGCCUGUGUCCCUAUUUGUGCCCGUCGUGGGACCCCCUUAGAUAAACCCCUUUGAGCCUACAUUAAGCCUUUUCUUUCAUCACCCUAAAAAUCCUUAACCCCUGAACCUUAGUAUAGUUAUAAUCCUACCCUUUGUUCUAAAAACUUAGUGGAGCUAUCUUUUGAGACUUACUACAUGAUGGUGACAAGGAUUGAGAAGAGGUGAAAAUUCAAGUGUGGGGGUAGACUUGUCCAUGAAAAAAAAAAAAAAAAAAAAAAAGAAUGUUUAUGGAUUUUAGUCCCCCAUACUUGGUGAGUUUGGAGAUUGUUUUGAAUUGAAGGCCCACUAUCGAAAAAUUUGGUCUUUGUCCAAUUCACUAGAAUCAAAGGGAGUUUAGAAUGAAGAUGAAGACAUUAAGCCCUUUUAUAAAGCCUCAUGGGUAUGACGUUAUGCCUUGGUGGAUUUCUAGAAGUCUCUCUAUAUCAACAUGAGCUCUGCUAGGUUUUUAGGAUACUUUGUUAAAAAUUCCUUACCCUUUCAUUUCUUAAAACCUUGAGCCUUAGCCCCAUUACAACCUUUGAGAAGACCUUCUUGAUCCUUAAGAUGGGACAGCCUUUGAUGUGGAGAUGAGUUACAAGAGUUGAACAUAUGGCUUGGGUCCAUUCGUGCAAGUAGUUGAUAUCUUUCAUGAGAUCUUUUAAAAAAAUUAUAUUCACAAAGUGCUUUUUGUUUCUUAUAUAUGUGAGCUAUUUGAUUGCCUCAAAAUAUUUUCUCUCACAUAUAAUUGAGUGAUUAUAAGCUUUUAAGCAUGAGCCUUGAAUAUGAGAGAAGAAAGAGUGAUAUAUCCAUGUGAGGUUUGAAUCAUGACUUGUUUGAAAUAUGUUGAGCUCCACUCACCACCAUUGUUUACUCCCAAGUCUUACAUGCUUAUAUGUGGAUUAUAUUUUGUAAUUAGCUCUUGAAUAUCUUGAUGAUGUGAUUCUUGGUUAAGUGCUAAUCUUGGUGACUUGAAAGUAUGAGAUUUCUGAGACAAUAUGUUAAAGGGCAAUAGAGGUCUUUGUGAUAUCAACAUCAUGGUCUUUGUCUUUGAAUUUCCUCUUUUAUGUGUGACGUUUUUUUUUCUUUGUGUUUUGCUUUGUGUUUUACGUUUUUGGUUUCUUUGAGUCUUUGUGUUUUUGUUUCCAUACUUAGUCAUUUUUUUUCGUUGGUUUCUUUGUUUUGUGUCAUAGUCUUUUUGGUUUGUUAGUUUUUGAUUUUGCUAAGGGACUAGCAAAAGCUAAGUGUGGGGGAAUUUGAUAGGAGCAUUUUAAUGUGGUAUUUUAAUAGUUAAUUCCUCACAUUUUGCUUAGUUAAUUCCUUAACGAAUCGAUUUUUAACUCAAUUUCUAUUUUCUUAGGUACAUUGGAGUAAAUGAUGGUGAAAUGAGCAUUAGGUCCACACUUACCUAUAAAUGAUGGAGAAAAAUGGAAAUGUACUAAAAGGUCAAUUUUACACAUUUUCCUACUCCGGCUAGGAGAAACCAAGCCAAGCAAGGAAGAAGGAGCGGCCGCCUGACCAAAUGAACUCCAAAUGAGCUGAAACUUUCCAGAUCCAUUCUAGACAUCCUAAGGAUCGUUUCUUAUGAAGAGUGCCAGAGCUAGAAUUGAGCGGAAGACCUUCAAACAGUCAGCCCAAUUUCCUGCAGAAGCAAAACUGGAAAACUGGACCCGUAAGGAGUCCAGCAGAGAUUCUGGCCCAAAGGCAUGGAAAUAAAUUCUGAAAUUUUACCAAAAUGAUCUACACUCAUGGUAGAUCAUUUCAUAUGAAGAAGUCAAGAGCCAAAAAUGAAUUCCUGUUGGAGAAAUAAUUGAAGGAAUAAAGGGGCAGAAAUUGACCUAAAACCAGCUCAAUAUUCACAUGUUCAUGUUUCCUACCCACAUGAAGAAAGCUAGAUGCUUUUCUCUUUUUCCUUGGAUAUAUUUUUCUGCUCCAAUAGAUCAUCAUCACUUCCAUACUUCUGCACAUUCAUGCCUUGCUUUCAUUUCAUCAUUACUCCAUCUUUUCCAUAUUUUACAAACCACUUUCAUUAUUUUUCUUCCAUUUAUCAUUUCACUCUUCUUUUUCUUCCCUAUAUAAACACCUUCUCCUCUCACUCUAAAAAAAUUCCUUCAUCCAUUUCAUCUUCUUUGUCUCUCCAUUUCCAUUCCAUUUUUCUCUCCAUUCUCUAGUUGCAAAAUUCUGCGUUUUCAAGUAAGAAGAAGAAGAAGAAGAAUGAGCCGGGAAUAUCAUAUCCUCCAUCGUCCACCUUGAAGGCUUGCUUCCAAGAUUCAAGAUUUCAACGUUUCAAGCACUCCAUCUCCAUCUCCAACUCACGGUGUGUACCCUCAAUUCCCGGAAUAGAACGAUCCCUAUUUGCUUAUACUACUAACGAUGUUUUCAGGGUUAAAUUAUGCGCUUGCUUUGAGCUUAUCAAUUUUUGGCGCCGUUGCCGGGGAUUGAAAAAUCACUUGUUUUUGUUUAUAAUUGUUGUAUAUAAACUGUUUGAUACUUAGUUUAAAUUAACUAGGUUGUUUUUUUUAUUGUUAAAUACGAGUUUAAUUGUGAGUUGUAAAUUAAAGAAGGAAUAGGUGAAGUCGUGUUUAUUAAUAUUGGCCUAAACCCCUUAUUGGUACCUAGUUCAGGUCCCUUAAGGUUGAGGGCGGCCUUUAUUAACAUUCAUUGAACUGUCUAACACACUUAGGACCUUUUACAUCCUAGUAAGAAUAUCCUAUGUGAGAUGGUGUCUAGGAAGGGGAUAACGUUCAUGACGGGUUUUUGAAUCCAGAAGUGCUUAUAAAUGGGCUUAGCUCAUGCCAAAAUGGAUUUUUCCUCUCGUGUUCACCCUCCCCUACCUGGCCAUUUCAGUAAGGUUGCCCAACGGAUGUAGGAGGGACUUUGUGUCUAGACGACUAUACUUGGGCCGCACGUCCACUUGAUUUACCGCUUGGAAUUAGAUUUGAUAUCAAUAAUGUUUAUAACAAAAGAAAUACUUGUGCAUACUCUUUACGUGUAAAUUAUUUUGUUGUUUCACACUUUAUACUUGUAAAAAUACUUUUUACGUUUUAUACUCACUUGUGUACUUAACUUGUGUCUUAUGUACAAAAUACUUGUUAAUUAUACUUGUAGUUUGUAAUUCAUAGUUACUUGUUUAUUUUUUUUGUAUUUCUUUGUUAAUAUUAAGUUACUAACUUUAUUUAAUGUAGGUACCGUCUGGCUGCAAGACGUAAAAUACAAGCGCUGCUUGGGAGGCAACCCAAUUCAGAAUAUAAUCAGAUUUGCUUUCUCUUCCCCUUUUACUCCUCCAUUUUCUUUUUGUUUUAGUAGUUAUUUUCGUAAAUUUCAUCCCUAUAUGCUUACUUAUUUCAUUGCAUGCUUUUAAUUGAUUACAUUAAGGAUAAUGCAAUAUUUAAGUGUGGGGGAAGGGAUUUAUAUUUUUGUCUUUCAUUUUGAGUCCUAUAAAUAUUUUUGAGUCCUAUAUUUUAAAAAAAAUAAUAAAAAAUAAAAAAUAAAAUAAAAUGCAUUCAUUUAGUCUUAUUAAAUUCAGCUUUUUACAAAAAAAAAAAAAAUAAAAAAAAAAUAAAAUAAAAUAAAAUAAAAUAAAAAAAUAAUAAAAAAAAUAAAAAAAAUAAAAAAAAAAUAUCUCCCAAAUUGUAUAUUUUGUAUUUCUUAGUUAAUUAUAGUUACUAACUUUCUAAUUUCUAUUCUGUCUGGCUGAAAGACGUUAAACUCAAGCGCUGCUUGGGAGGCAACCCAAUUCAGAAGUAGCUGUGAAGGAGUCUACCUACACAGAUUUGCUUUCUCUUUCCCUAUCUCUUUUUAUUUUUUUUAUUUUUUCUCUUUUGUUUUUAUUUUAGGAUUUAUUUUCAUAAAUGUCUUCUAUCUAUGCUUAUUUGUUUCAUUGCAUGCUUAUGAUUGAUUACAUUGAGGACAAUGCAAUAUUUAAGUGUGGGGGAAGGGAUUUAUAUUUGAGUCUUUUAUUUUGAGUCAUAUAUAUUGGAAAAUACAAAAAAAUCGAAAAAUGUCAAAAAUUAAAAAAAUUUCGUUGAUUUUAUUUAUUGAGUCUUAGUCCUUUGUUUUUAUUUUUGAGUCAUAGGAUGCCCUUUUAACUGUCUAGGAUGAGCUUAUAUCUCUGAAAUUAAGGCUAAAAGAUGAUCACAAGAUUGGGAUAAUAUUUGAUGAUAUUCUUUGGUUAAUUAUGAUUUAUGAAAAGCAUAUGAAUGUGUAGUAGAUAUGGUGCAUGCGUAACUUUGGUACAGAAUAUGAACAUGUGGAUGAUAAGUUAUGAUUCAUAAUAACCCUUGUGAGAAUUUGAGCCAUGUGCCCUUUCUUUGUUGAGUGAUUAAUGGAAAAAAAAAAAAAAAUGAAUUAUACUCUUAUUUUCUUGGCGAUGAUUCUGUUGAUCUCAUUAUUCUUUCAUCUUGAUUGAUUACAUGCCAUAGAUUAAGUUUAAUGGACUAGAGAAUGCUAGAAUUCGCUCUUGUGCUUGUUGAGACGUUUUGUCAAUACAUGGCCCUGAUUCUGGAAAGGAUAGAGGCACCUAGGAACUACCACCAUUGCCAAAUAAGCCUGUGUCCCUAUUUGUGCCCGUCGUGGGACCCCCUUAGAUAAACCCCUUUGAGCCUACAUUAAGCCUUUUCUUUCAUCACCCUAAAAAUCCUUAACCCCUGAACCUUAGUAUAGUUAUAAUCCUACCCUUUGUUCUAAAAACUUAGUGGAGCUAUCUUUUGAGACUUACUACAUGAUGGUGACAAGGAUUGAGAAGAGGUGAAAAUUCAAGUGUGGGGGUAGACUUGUCCAUGAAAAAAAAAAAAAAAAAAAAAAAGAAUGUUUAUGGAUUUUAGUCCCCCAUACUUGGUGAGUUUGGAGAUUGUUUUGAAUUGAAGGCCCACUAUCGAAAAAUUUGGUCUUUGUCCAAUUCACUAGAAUCAAAGGGAGUUUAGAAUGAAGAUGAAGACAUUAAGCCCUUUUAUAAAGCCUCAUGGGUAUGACGUUAUGCCUUGGUGGAUUUCUAGAAGUCUCUCUAUAUCAACAUGAGCUCUGCUAGGUUUUUAGGAUACUUUGUUAAAAAUUCCUUACCCUUUCAUUUCUUAAAACCUUGAGCCUUAGCCCCAUUACAACCUUUGAGAAGACCUUCUUGAUCCUUAAGAUGGGACAGCCUUUGAUGUGGAGAUGAGUUACAAGAGUUGAACAUAUGGCUUGGGUCCAUUCGUGCAAGUAGUUGAUAUCUUUCAUGAGAUCUUUUAAAAAAAUUAUAUUCACAAAGUGCUUUUUGUUUCUUAUAUAUGUGAGCUAUUUGAUUGCCUCAAAAUAUUUUCUCUCACAUAUAAUUGAGUGAUUAUAAGCUUUUAAGCAUGAGCCUUGAAUAUGAGAGAAGAAAGAGUGAUAUAUCCAUGUGAGGUUUGAAUCAUGACUUGUUUGAAAUAUGUUGAGCUCCACUCACCACCAUUGUUUACUCCCAAGUCUUACAUGCUUAUAUGUGGAUUAUAUUUUGUAAUUAGCUCUUGAAUAUCUUGAUGAUGUGAUUCUUGGUUAAGUGCUAAUCUUGGUGACUUGAAAGUAUGAGAUUUCUGAGACAAUAUGUUAAAGGGCAAUAGAGGUCUUUGUGAUAUCAACAUCAUGGUCUUUGUCUUUGAAUUUCCUCUUUUAUGUGUGACGUUUUUUUUUUCUUUGUGUUUUGCUUUGUGUUUUACGUUUUUGGUUUCUUUGAGUCUUUGUGUUUUUGUUUCCAUACUUAGUCAUUUUUUUUCGUUGGUUUCUUUGUUUUGUGUCAUAGUCUUUUUGGUUUGUUAGUUUUUGAUUUUGCUAAGGGACUAGCAAAAGCUAAGUGUGGGGGAAUUUGAUAGGAGCAUUUUAAUGUGGUAUUUUAAUAGUUAAUUCCUCACAUUUUGCUUAGUUAAUUCCUUAACGAAUCGAUUUUUAACUCAAUUUCUAUUUUCUUAGGUACAUUGGAGUAAAUGAUGGUGAAAUGAGCAUUAGGUCCACACUUACCUAUAAAUGAUGGAGAAAAAUGGAAAUGUACUAAAAGGUCAAUUUUACACAUUUUCCUACUCCGGCUAGGAGAAACCAAGCCAAGCAAGGAAGAAGGAGCGGCCGCCUGACCAAAUGAACUCCAAAUGAGCUGAAACUUUCCAGAUCCAUUCUAGACAUCCUAAGGAUCGUUUCUUAUGAAGAGUGCCAGAGCUAGAAUUGAGCGGAAGACCUUCAAACAGUCAGCCCAAUUUCCUGCAGAAGCAAAACUGGAAAACUGGACCCGUAAGGAGUCCAGCAGAGAUUCUGGCCCAAAGGCAUGGAAAUAAAUUCUGAAAUUUUACCAAAAUGAUCUACACUCAUGGUAGAUCAUUUCAUAUGAAGAAGUCAAGAGCCAAAAAUGAAUUCCUGUUGGAGAAAUAAUUGAAGGAAUAAAGGGGCAGAAAUUGACCUAAAACCAGCUCAAUAUUCACAUGUUCAUGUUUCCUACCCACAUGAAGAAAGCUAGAUGCUUUUCUCUUUUUCCUUGGAUAUAUUUUUCUGCUCCAAUAGAUCAUCAUCACUUCCAUACUUCUGCACAUUCAUGCCUUGCUUUCAUUUCAUCAUUACUCCAUCUUUUCCAUAUUUUACAAACCACUUUCAUUAUUUUUCUUCCAUUUAUCAUUUCACUCUUCUUUUUCUUCCCUAUAUAAACACCUUCUCCUCUCACUCUAAAAAAAUUCCUUCAUCCAUUUCAUCUUCUUUGUCUCUCCAUUUCCAUUCCAUUUUUCUCUCCAUUCUCUAGUUGCAAAAUUCUGCGUUUUCAAGUAAGAAGAAGAAGAAGAAGAAUGAGCCGGGAAUAUCAUAUCCUCCAUCGUCCACCUUGAAGGCUUGCUUCCAAGAUUCAAGAUUUCAACGUUUCAAGCACUCCAUCUCCAUCUCCAACUCACGGUGUAAUUCAUUCUUUUUCCUUAUUUAAUUUCGUAGGAAUUUGUUUCUAGUUAACAAUAACAUUAAGGGCAAAGUUUAAGCCCAAUUUCUAUGAUUGAAUAAAAAUUGUGAUUUCUUUAUGUUGAU